GCCAGACUCCUACGGGAGGCAGCAGUGGGGAAUAUUGGACAAUGGGGGGAACCCUGAUGCAGCGACGCCGCGUGAGUGAAGAAGUAUUUCGGUAUGUAAAGCUCUAUCAGCAGGGAAGAAAAUGACGGUACCUGACUAAGAAGCCCCGGCUAACUACGUGCCAGCAGCCGCGGUAAUACGUAGGGGGCAAGCGUUAUCCGGAUUUACUGGGUGUAAAGGGAGCGUAGACGGCAGCGCAAGUCUGAAGUGAAAUCCCAUGGCUUAACCAUGGAACUGCUUUGGAAACUGAGCAGCUAGAGUGCAGGAGAGGUAAGCGGAAUUCCUAGUGUAGCGGUGAAAUGCGUAGAUAUUAGGAGGAACACCAGUGGCGAAGGCGGCUUACUGGACUGUAACUGACGUUGAGGCUCGAAAGCGUGGGGAGCAAACAGGAUUAGAUACCCGAGUA
rnacentral:rRNA from 1 species